CUACGGGAGGCAGCAGUGGGGAAUUUUGGACAAUGGGGGCAACCCUGAUCCAGCAAUGCCGCGUGAGUGAAGAAGGCCUUCGGGUUGUAAAGCUCUUUUGUCAGGGAAGAAAAGGGACUGGCUAAUAUCUGGUCCUCAUAACGGUACCUGAAGAAUAAGCACCGGCUAACUACGUGCCAGCAGCGGCGGUAAUACGUAGGGUGCAACCGUUAAU
rnacentral:rRNA from 1 species